GGUGAGCUACCCCGAGACAGCCUAUAUUAAUUUAGGGCUAACCCGUCUCUGUGGCAAAAGAGUGGGAAGAGCUCCGGGUAGAAGUGAAAGACCUACCGAACCUGGUGAUAGCUGGUUGACUGAGAAAUGGAUAGAAGUUCAGCCUCGCACACCCCAAACCAAAAAAUAUUAUCACCAAGAUAUUAAGGGAAACGUACGAGAGUUAGUUGAAAGGGGUACAGCCCUUUUAACAAAGGAUACAACCUUUACAGGAGGAUAAAGAUCAUAAUGUAUAAGACAUACUGUUCUAGUGGGCCUGAAAGCAGCCACCUAAACAGAAAGCGUUAAAGCUCGGACAGAGAGAAGUUUAUUAUACUGAUAAAAAAUCUUAUUCCCCUAGCUAUAUCAGACCAACCCAUGCCCCCAUGGAAGAGAUUAUGCUAAAAUGAGUAAUAAGAAGACCCGCUCUUCUCCCGGCACAAGUGUAAACCAGAUCGGACUAACCACUGGAACUUAACGAACCCAACCCCAGAGGGUAGUGUGAUUAACAAAAAACUCAAGAAGACCUCACAUAAUUGAUCGUUGACCCCACACUGGAGUGCUAUUUUAAGGGAAAGACUAAAAGAAGGGGAAGGAACUCGGCAAACACAAGCCUCGCCUGUUUACCAAAAACAUCGCCUCCUGCAACUAAACUGAGUAUAGGAGGUCCAGCCUGCCCAGUGACUACGGGUUCAACGGCCGCGGUAUCUUGACCGUGCAAAGGUAGCGCAAUCACUUGUCUCUUAAAUAGAGACCUGUAUGAAUGGCUAGACGAGGGCUUAACUGUCUCCCCCUUCCAGUCAGUGAAAUUGAUCUAUCCGUGCAGAAGCGGGUAUAACUAUACAAGACGAGAAGACCCUUUGGAGCUUAAGGUACAAAAUUUAGCCACGUUAAACAACUCUAUAAGAAGCAAGAACUUAGUGAUAAUGAAAUUUUACCUUCGGUUGGGGCGACCGCGGAGGAAAAACAAGCCUCCGAGUGGACUGGGCCGAAUCCCUGAAGCCUAUAGAGACAUCUAUAAGCCGCAGAACAUCUGACCAAAAAUGAUCCGGCUAAAAGCCGAUCAACGAACCAAGUUACCCAAGGGAUAACAGCGCAAUCCCCUCCCAGAGCCCAUAUCUACGAGGGGGUUUACGACCUCGAUGUUGGAUCAGGACAUCCUAAUGGUGC
rnacentral:rRNA from 1 species